rnacentral:misc_RNA from 1 species
AAAUGCGAUAAGUAGUGUGAAUUGCGGAAUUCAGUGAAUCAUCGAAUCUUUGAACGCACAUUGCGCCCUUUGGUAUUCCUUAGGGCAUGCCUGUUCGAGCGUCAUCUAAACCUUCAAGCCCUGCUUGGUGUUGGGUGCCUGUCCCGCCUCCGCGCGCGGACUCACCUCAAAUCCAUUGGCGGCCCCCGCGUCGGCCACGAGCGCAGCAGAAACGCGAACUCGUGAGCCCGUCCGGGCGGCUCCCAGAAGCUACACCCACCCAGUUUGACCUCGGAUCAGGUAGGGAUACCCGCUGAACUUAAGC